rnacentral:rRNA from 1 species
AUUCCAGCUCCAAUAGCGUAUAUUAAAGUUGUUGCGGUUAAAAAGCUCGUAGUUGGAUUUCUGUUGAGGGCAGCCGGUCCGCACCCGGUGCGUGUAUCUGGUUUGACCUCGGCAUCCUCUCAAAAAACGUUUCUGCGCUUGAUUGCGUGGAGCGGAGUUUGGGACUUUUACUUUGAGGAAAUUAGAGUGUUCACGGCAGGCAUCCGCCCUGAAUAUAUUAGCAUGGAAUAAUAAUAUAGGAUCUUGGUUCUAUUUUGUUGGUUUCUAGAGCUAAGAUAAUGAUUAAUAGGGACAAUUGGGGGCAUUCGUAUUAACGCGUCAGAGGUGGAAUUCUUGGAUUGCGUUACGACGAACUACUGCGAAAGCAUUUGCCAAGGAUGUUUUCAUUA